GUGGGGAAUAUUGGACAAUGGGCGAAAGCCUGAUCCAGCCAUGCCGCGUGUGUGAAGAAGGUCUUCGGAUUGUAAAGCACUUUAAGUUGGGAGGAAGGGCAGUAAGUUAAUACCUUGCUGUUUUGACGUUACCGACAGAAUAAGCACCGGCUAACUUCGUGCCAGCAGCCGCGGUAAUACGAAGGGUGCAAGCGUUAAUCGGAAUUACUGGGCGUAAAGCGCGCGUAGGUGGUUUUGUAAGUUGGAGGUGAAAUCCCCGGGCUCAACCUGGGAACUGCCUCCAAAGAUGCAUGACUAGAGUACGGUAGAGGGUAGUGGAAUUUCCUGUGUAGCGGUGAAAUGCGUAGAUAUAGGAAGGAACACCAGUGGCGAAGGCGACUACCUGGACUGAUACUGACACUGAGGUGCGAAAGCGUGGGGAGCAAACAGGAUUAGAUACCCUUGUAGUCC
rnacentral:rRNA from 1 species